GUUCAGAAUAUUUUUUUUUCUGGGUUUCCUCCUCUAAAAACUAGGUGCGUCUUAUGGUGAGGUGCGUCUUAUGGAGCGAAAAAUACGGUAAUUAUUUCAGAUGACUUAAAGGUAGGCAGACAAUGUAAUAGAGCAGCAGGAAAUGCUUGCAGAAUGCUCGGUUGUAUAGGGAGAGGUAUUAGCAGUAGAAAGAGAGAAGUGCUCAUGCCAUUGUACAGAACACUGGUGAGACCUCACUUGGAGUAUUGUACACAGUACUGGAGACCGUAUCUUCAGAAGGAUAUUGAUACUUUUGAGAGAGUUCAGAGAAGGGCUACUAAACUGGUUCAUGGAUUGCAGGAUAAAACUUACCAGGAAAGGUUAAAGGAACUUAACAUGUAUAGCUUGGAGGAAAGACGAGACAGGGGGGAUAUGAUAGAAACAUUUAAAUACAUUAAGGGAAUUAACAAAGUAAAGGAGGAGACUAUAUUUAAAACUAGGCGAACUACCACAACAAGAGGACAUAGUCUUAAAUUAGAGGGGCAAAGGUUUAAAAAUAAUUUCAGGAAGUAUUAGUUUACUGAGUGGGUAGUGGAUGCAUGGAAUAGCCUUCCAGCUGAAGUGGUAGAGGUUAACACAGUGAGGGAGUUUAAGCAUGUGUGGGAUAGGCAUAAAGCUAUCCUAGACUUAAGAUAAGGCUAGGGACUAAUUAAAAGUAUUUUGAAAUAUUAGGCAGACUAGAUGGGCCGAAUGGUUCUUAUCUGCCGUCACAUUCAAUGUUUCUAUGUUUAUCUUGGUCUCAUCGGACCACAGGACAUGGUUCCAGUAAUUCAUGUCCUUAAUGUGCUUGUCUUCAGCAAACGGUUUGCGGGCUUUCUUGUGCAUCAUUUUUAGAAGAGGCUUCCUUCUGGGACGACAGCCAUGCAGACCAAUUUGAUGCAGUGUGUCACGUAUGGUCUCAGCACUGACAGGCUUACCCCCCACCCCUUCAACCUCUGCAGCAAUGCUGGCAGCACUCAUACGUCUAUUUCCCAAAGACAACCUCUGGAUAUAACGCUGAGCAUGUGCACUCAACUUUUUUGGUCGACCAUGGCGAGGCCUGUUCUCAGUGGAACCUGUCCUGUGAAACCGCUGUAUGGUCCUGCCCACCAUGCUGCAGCCCAGUUUCAGGGUCUUGGCGAUCUUCUUAUAGCCAAGGCCAUCUUUAUGUAGAGCAAUAAUAAUUUUUUUCUUCCAGUGGUCAGUAUGAGAGAGAUAACACCAAAUUUAACACACCUGCUCCCCAUUCACACCUGAGACCUUGUAACACCUUGUAACACUAAUGAGCCACAUGACACCGAGGAGGUAAAAUGGCUAAUUGCACCUAAUUGGGCCCAAUUUGGACAUUUCCACUUAGGGGUGUACUCACUUUUGUUGCCAACAGUUUAGACAUUAAUGGCUGUGUGCUGAGUUAUUUUAAGGGGAUAGCAAAUUUACACUGUUAUAUAGGCUGUACACUUACUACUUUACAUUGUAGCAGAGUGCCAUUUCUUCAGUGUUGUCACAUGAAAAGAUAUAAUAAAAUAUUUACAAAAA
rnacentral:lncRNA from 1 species